rnacentral:lncRNA from 1 species
UAGUUUCAGCUGUUUGGACUAUUCUCGGUAUAUACAAUCAUCCAUCUGCUUUCUAGCACCCAAAACUUGGUGUCUUUUCUUGUUGACUGUCAUCCACUAUCCUGUUGCAUUGUCCUUAUGAGUUUAUGACUUUUUCUAAUUCAAUUACUAUCAUUUUAGUGGCAUUUCAGGAAGAAAUGGAGAUAAACAAGUGUGUUUCAUCCACCAUAGUUAACUGGAAGUCCAGUUUUUACUCUUCAUAUUUACUUUAAAAAUUAUUAUUUUUAGUGGUGAAAAAUGAUGAAGACAAAUUAUUUUAGAAAAAAGUAAAUUAUCUCUGCAAGGCAGAGAGGAUAUUAUGAGGUUCAAUUCUAAUUUUGUCUUUUUUCUUUUUCACUAUAGUUAAUGGCAAUGAAGUCCCCGUGACCAAGAGACCAUCCUCCUCCAGCAUUGCUCAUCCUAGAGAUAUUUCUAUCGGUUUAUCAGUGUCUUCUUUGAUAUUUCCAUCUGCCCUUAUUUGGCUUCAUUUUCUUUUAACCAGAGUAGCCCUUGAUCAUCAAGACAGACUCUCAAAAGAAUAGGAAUGACAGGGAAGGAAGGAAAGAUCUGAUCAUUUCCACUGGGCCUUUAAUUCCUUUGAACUUGAGCAAUUGUUUUCAUGAAGGAUUCAGGAGUGUUUGCCGACAGCCAUUCCCGCCGCCAUCUGGUGAAUAUGGUUAUUUUGCUAUAUUUUUAAAAAAUUUUAAUUUCCAUAGUUUUUUGGGGGAACAGGUGGUAUUUGGUUACAUGAGUAAGUUCUUUAGUGGUGAUUUAUGAGAUUUGGGUGCACCCAUCACCUGAGCAGUAUACACUGAACCCAGUUUUAUCCCUCAUCCCCUUCCUACCCUUUCCCCCUGAGUCCCCAAAGUCCACUGUGUCAUUCUUAUGCCUUUGCAUCCUCAUAGCUUAGCUCCCACUUAUGAGUGAGAACAUACAAUGUUUGGUUUUCCAUUCCUGAGUUACUUCACUUAUAUGGUUAACAGUCUCCAA